GUCAGGAGAACUAGUUAUCUCAAUGAACGUGGCUCUGAAGACAACAUGGGGACAUCUUCUCUAAGGGUCAAUUAACCGUGGAGAGAAAUAUUCCCUAGAGUCCCUGGCUUUUUUCCAUCUUGGAACCAAGUUCUCUGUACUCUUUUUGUAUCCAACCCUUGUGAGAAGACAGUGAGAAAGAUCUAGCCUCUAUUACCCACAAGACACUUUUGAGGUUUCCCCAUGUGCCAUAUCAUAGAAGAGAAGUCAAGGAAUGGAAGCAGGAAGUUACUGCUAGCAUUCCUCACUCUCGCUGUUGGUCAUACUCCAAUUUUAUACACUACAUUAAUAUAACAUGUGAAAAGAUUUCAGAUACAGAAGUAAAAUAACAUCAUUAGCUAUCAGGGAAAUGCAAAUCAAAACUACAAAGAGGGAUCACCUCACCCUGGUCAGAAUGGCUAUAAUUAACAAGACAGGAAACAACAAAUAUUGAAGAGGAUGUGGAGAGAAGGGAGCGCUUGUUCACUGCUGGUGGGAGUGCAGACUGGUGCAGCCACUAUGGAAAGCAGUAUGGAGUUCCCUCAGAAAAUUAAGGAUAGAUCUACCAUAUGAUCCAGCUAUCCCACUGCUGGGUAUUUAUCCAAGGAACUUGAAAACACAAAGGCACAAAGAUACUGGCACCCCAUGUUCGUUGCAGCGUUAUACACAAUAGCCAAGACUUGGAAGCAACCUAGGUGCCCAUCAGGGGACGAAUGGAUAAAGAAGAUGUGGUAUUUAUACACGAUGGACUACUACUCAGCCAUAAGAAAAGAUGAAAUCUGGCCAUUUGUGACAACACGGAUGGGUCUUAAGGGUAUUAUGCUGAGUUAAAUAAGUCAGGGCGAGAAACUCAAAUUCCAUAUUAUCUCCCUCAUAAGUAAAGGAUAAAAACAAUGACAAACAAACACAUAGCAUUGGAGAUUGGAUUGGUGGUUAUCAUAGGAGGAGGGGGGCAGGGGGGAGGCAUAGGGGUGAUGAGGCUCCCAUGUGAGGUGACGGACUAUAAUUCAUUUUCUGGUGGUGAACACGAUGUAAUCUACACAGAAUUCGAAAUAUAUUAUGAUGUACAUCAGAAAAUAAAUAAAUAAUUAAUUUUAAAAAAAGAAACGUGACAGCUGCAUCAUGGUAAAGUCAGUUGUUCUCUUUGUCUGUCCACUUUAUGUUACACCUAGUGGGACAUCAAUUGACCAAAAAAGGACUCGCUGCAAAGAACACCAGAAUGCCUGAGACUUCCGUGCAUCUAUACGUCAAAAGUGGCUCUGGUGUUUCCAGCCGUGGGUACAGCAUCCACAGCACAGAUAUCCACAGCAAGGGUGGUGGUGCUCUGACCUGAGAUUUCAAAAUGCUCACCAGCGCGGGCCAGUGACCAGAGACUGCAGGAAGAACAAUGACAUUCGGUUUAGCCCUACCCCACCCCCACGAUGGUGGGGGGCGCCCAUGCCCUGAGACUGCAGGCAACACAGCAGUGCCAGUGAACGAGCCCCCUCCGUUUCCCCAGGCAGCAAUGACUCUGACCCUGGUCUUUCAACAUCAAGGGCUGCAUUCAAAAUGCAGAUACCACUGGCAGAGGCAGUGGUGCCCUGAUGCGAGGUUUCAAAAAUCACACUUACCCACAACAACCACCAGAGGCUACAGGAGGAGAAAAGGUACUUCUGGCUUCACACCUGCCCCUCCCACAGCAGUGUAAGGUAGCAUCUUCAACCUGAGGUUCAGGAGCCACAGCAGAACUUGUGACACAGCCUCCAGCGGCAGCACCUCUGACAUGGGCUCUACCACCAUUGGGGCUGCAUACCGGACCCUGGCCCAUGCAACACCAUAAAUCCAAUGCCUCUAACCCAUGUGUUUCUCUGGCAGUUCUCUUUGCCCAGGCAGAAAUGCAUCUGUCUUGGGUGGCUGUUCCAGUUACCUUUAGCUAGUUAACAAAUUAUCCUGAAACUUGGCAACUUGCAAGAAUUGUUUUAUUUUUCUACUAUUUUGUGGGUCAGGAGUUUGGGAAGGGUUUAGCUCGGCAGGUCUUCCGUGGGGACUCUCGUAUUGUUGCCAUCUGAUGGUGUGCAGGCUGUGUCAUCACCAGGCUAGACUGGGAUGAUCAUCCAAGAUGCCGUUUCUUCUUCUUGUCCUCUUUUAAGCCUAUUUAUUUUUAUUUUUAUUUCAGUGAUUAUGAAGACACAUAUCUAUUGAAGCUUCAGGUCAUUAAGCCAAUGCACUCCAAAUUCAUUUUCUCCUAUGCUGGCUGUGUCCACCAUUCCCUCAUCCCCUCUAACUUAGUCUGUCUCUUUCCAUUUGCCUUUUUCCCUUUAAAGUUGGAGAGAGGAAUCAAUUUUUCUUCCUUUGGUCUUACUUCCCUUCUGCUUUCACACACCUUUCCCUUCAGGACCUCACAUUAGAACUCUCCACACACUCUUCUCUUCCUGUGUGGCCAGAGCAUAAGCGAGAUGGGGGAUACGAAUCAACCUCUUUUGUUCUGGGUCCACUCCUUCCUGCCAUAGGUGUUACUAGGAAUAUAGGACAAGUGGUUUUCCUCAGGAAUGCAAUCUUUUCACAAGAGGGCAGUGCUUACAGGCUACAGAAAAAUUUUCUCCUACAGAGUCAUAUUCUGCUAAUGUGUCCAAACUGAGGAUCAUUGAUAAUAUCCUUAUAGAGAAGCUCUAAGCGUCUGUGUCCCACCUGCAGAAACAGAAUUCUUAUAUAAGGGUCAGUUUAAUUUGAGAAAUACCUAGACUUUCUCUAUAUUUUACUAGGAAUGAGCCAAGUUUCCUAUGUUUGUAUGCCAGGAAAGGGCAGGGAAUAAAUAAUCUGUGAGGUCUUUCCUCUCCAUUAGAUUCUGUUUCACUAAUGGUUUCAGGAACAAUAGAGUUGGGCUUUCUCUUUUUUCCUACAUUUAAUCAAACUGCACUUGUCCUAUGUCUGAUUGACUGUUAAUGUCAUGAUGCUGCCACAUUUUGUUUUGCUCAUGAGUAAGAUGGAAAUUCACAUCCAAGUCCCUUACCCUUCACGUUGUCAACAUUUAUAUCAGUUGCCAUAUGAGUUAAAGUCACUACUUCUGCAGGUAGAAUUGCAUCUGGAGAGGAAAAGAUGAAGUAAGUCCGUAUAGGUCUGAAGUUGGACCUCUUCUUGCUCUUUGAUGUCUUCUGCAUCUGUCUGCCUUUCUAUUCUUUCUUAGUAAUUUGUCUAAUAUCUCUCUCAUUCUCUGACCCUCUCUUGGGCUUCCCGCGCUUUUUUCUCCACAAGUUUUCAAAAUGUAGUUCAGAAACAUUUUUAUCACUGUGUUUGUUUUAUGUAUAUUCAACGUGCCAUGUGUAGCUGGAA
rnacentral:lncRNA from 1 species